rnacentral:rRNA from 1 species
CCUACGGGAGGCAGCAGUGGGGAAUAUUGCACAAUGGGCGAAACCCUGAUGCAGCGACGCCGCGUGAGUGAAGAAGUAUUUCGGUAUGGAAAGCUCUAUCAGCAGGAACGAAACAAGACGGUACCUGUCUCAGACGCCCCUGCUAACUACGUGCCAGCAGCCGCGGUAAUACGUAGGGGGCAAGCGUUAGCCGGAUUUAUGGGGUGUAAAGGGUGCGCAGGCGGCGUGUCAAGUCAGCGGUAAAAUGUCGGGGCUCAACGCCGGCAGGCCGUUGAAACUGGCGUGCUCGAGUUGGAGAGAAGUAGGCGGAAUUCGUGGUGUAGCGGUGAAAUGCAUAGAUAUCACGAAGAACCCCGAUUGCGAAGGCAGCAUACCGGCUCCAAACUGACGCUGAGGCACGAAAGCGUGGGUAUCGAACAGGAUUAGAUACCCUGGUAGUC